GCAAUCAGUGUCCCUCUGGGCGCUAGGAUCACGCACGCCCUAAAGCGUGCGGUGUGGUGAGGCAACUCCCACUUUGGAUUGCAGCUACACCCGUGUAUACUACCUUUGUUGCUUUGGCGGCGCCGCCUUUUGGCCCGGCUUUGGCCGGUCGUGCCCGCCAGAGGACCCAAACUCUUUUGUUACAGUGAUGUCUGAGUACUAUAUAAUAGUUA
rnacentral:misc_RNA from 1 species